CCCUCCCUAAAUUUUUUUUCUCUCUUGAAGAGACGCUACUGUCAUUUCCUCUUCCUUUUCCUCUUACUCUGAAAUCUGGAACUACCUCUGGAUCCCUCCUCAUUUCUUACUCAAAAGAACUCAGUCAACGAUUCUUCUUCCAACUCAAAAUCAUCAACUCGAUCUCGUAGCCAGGAGGCGUUUGUGCUAAUUGAGGAAGAGAUAAAAAUACCCUAGUAGUUUUUAGGGAAAAAUAAAAAAUAACCGCUGCUCCUCCUCUGCACGCUUCGCCAAUCGCUCCCUCCGACGAGGUUUGCACGAUCUUCAUAACGGGAUUGCCCGAAGACGUGAAGGAGAGAGAGCUGCAAAACCUUCUGCGGUGGCUACCUGGCUAUGAAGCUUUUCAGGUUAACUUCAAAGGCGAGAAGCCUAUGGGAUUCGCUCUCACCGCCAAAGACGCUCUUCAGGAGAUGGUUUUUGAUGCGAGUCAAAGUCGGUGUUGCACACGGAGAUGGCGAAGAAGAAUCUGUUUGUGAAAAGAGGUUGGAUAUAGGCACAUUGAUUGUGCUUAAGUUUACGACAAUGAGAAGGAGUGAGUGAAGUGUGAAGAUUGGGGGAAGGACAGAGAGAAAGGGAAAUGGAAAAAGACGGAGAGGUUGUGUGCGUUACCGGAGGUAGCGGGUGCAUUGGAUCUUGGCUCGUCCGUGAACUCCUCCAUCAUGGCUACAAUGUCCAUGCCGCCGUCCAAGAUCUCAAGGAUGAGAAUGAAACGAAGCAUUUAGAAGGUCUAGAAGGAGCCGAAACUCGUCUCCGUCUCUUCCAGAUUGAUCUCCUUAACUACCCCUCCAUUCUCCGCGCUAUUAAUGGCUGUGCCGGAGUCUUCCACCUCGCCUCUCCCUGCAUCGUCGAUCAAGUCCAAGAUCCCCACAUUAAAACGACAGCGCAGUUAGAUGUAGCUCUUUCAUUUUUUGGAACUACUGCUUCGGAGGAUUUUAAGUUGAAUGAAUUCGAAGAAGCCUGUGGUGUUGGUGUUGAGGUUUCAGUCGAAGAAAUUGAACAAGCUGUAAAUGAGGUUUUUGAAGAGAAUAAGAAUGUGAUUUUGGAGCAACACUAUUGAACAAAUGUGGGUGAAUUGUUAGGGCACGUUAGGAGGCGGCACGCAUGGGGUGAUCCAAAAAUCGUGAAGGUUUGUCUGGACAUUAGAACAAUAAAACUGUCCGCAAAUUCUCUUGGGUAGCUUUUUGUUGUACUUUUUUUUAAAAUGUUUUGCGUUUAAUUAUAUUGGUUGACUCAUCAAUCUCUCCUUCUCUCUCUCUAAAUAUAGACACACACAUAUGUAAUCCCAAAUUGAAUUGUUUUUGGGGUAUAUGGCUUUGUACUUGUGCAGAGAAUGUACCCUCGUUUUGGAAAUUUUUUGUGUUUUGUAUCCUGGAAAUUGUUAUAGAACAUUUUUAUAUUGUUUGUA